rnacentral:pre_miRNA from 1 species
AAAAAGACAAACCCUGGUUUCCGUGUCCAACGUUUGACUGUCCGUCUUAUAUGAAAUUUUUUUAUAAUUAGUAUUUUCAUUAUUGUUAGAUGAUAAAACAUGAUUAAUAAUUUAUGUGUGACUUAUCUUUUUAAUUUUUUUUAUAAUUUUUUUAAAUAAGACGAACAGUCAAACGUUGAACACGAAAACUC